rnacentral:rRNA from 1 species
UAAGUGAAAAGUUUGAUCAUAGCUCACUUGGAAGUGAACGCUGGCGGCAGGCCUAACACAUACAAGUCGAACGGUAACAGGAAACGCUUGCUGCUUCGCUGACAGUGGCGGACGGGUGAAGUAAUGUCUGGGAAACUUUACUUACGAUGGAGGGAUAACUACUGAAACGGUGGCUAAUACCGCACUUAACGUCGCAAGGGCCAAAAGGGGGACGCUUCAGACUCUUGCCAUCGAGGUAUGUGCCCAGAUGGGAUUAGCUGUUGGUGGUAACGGCUCACCAGGCGACGAUCUAGCUGGUCUGGGGAUGACCAGCACACUGGAACUGAAGACACGGUCCGAACUUUCCCUACGGGAGGCAGCAGUGGGGAAAUAUUGCACAAUAGGCACCAAGCCUGAUGCAGCCAUGCCGCGUGUAUGAAGAAGGCCUUCCCGAGGAACGUAAAGUACUUUCAGCGGGAGGAAGGUGUUGUGGUUAAUAACCGCAGCAAUUGACGUUACCCGCGAAAGAAGCACCGACUAACUCCGUGCCAGCAGCCGCGGUAUUAUUACCGGAGGGGUGCGGCGUUAAUCGGGAGUACUGGGCGUAAGCGCACGCAGGCGGUGUCAAGUCGGAUGGCGAAAUCCCCGGGCUCAACACGGGAACUGCAUUCCGAGCUGGCGAGGAAGCGAAGGUCUUCAGCAGAGGGGUAGAAUUCCGGGUAGCGGUGAAAUGCGUGAGAUCUGGAGGAGUACCGGUGGCGAAGGCGGCCCACGGACAAGGCGACGCUCAGGUGCAGCGUGGGGAGCAAGCAGGAUUACGGAAUACCUGAUUACACGCCGUAAGCGAUGUCUACUUGGAGGUUGUGCCCUUGAGGCGUGGCUUCCGGAAAGACUGGCGCGUUAAGUGGAGCCGCACAGGGGAGUACGGCCGCAGGUUAAAACUCAAAUGAAUUGACGGGGCGCACAGCGGCGGUGGAGCAUGUGGUUUAAUUCGAUGCAACGCGAAGAACCUUACGAUGCUUACGUUUGACAUCCACGGAAGUUUUCAGAGAUGAGAAUAUUGCCUUCGGGAACCGUGAGACGGGCGCUGCAUGGCUGUCGUCAGCUCGUGUUGUGAAAUGUUGGGUUAAGUCCUGUGAAAGCGCAGCCUUAUCGCUUUGUUGCCAGCGGUCGGCCAAGAACUCAAGGAGACUGCCAGUGAUAAACUGGAGGAAGGUGAGGAUGACGUCAGGUCAUCAUGGCCCUUACGACGAGGGCUACACGUGCUACAAUGGCGCAUACAGAGAAGCGACCUCGCGAGAGCAAAAAGCGGACCUCGCAAAAGUGCGUCGUAGUCGGAUUGGAGUGCUGCAACUCGACUCCAUGAAGUCGGAAUCGCUGGUAUCGUGGAUCAGGAAAUGCCACGGUGAAUACGUUCCCGGGCGCAGCACACACCGCCCGUCACACCAUGGGAAGUGGGUUGCAAAAGAAGCCGGUAGCAACACCUUCGGGAGGCGCUUUACCACUUUGUGAUUCAUGACUGGGAGUGAAGUGUAACAAGGCCGUAGGGGAACCUGCGGUUGGAUCACCUCACUU